rnacentral:rRNA from 1 species
UGGGGAAUAUUGGGCAAUGGGCGCAAGCCUGACCCAGCAACGCCGCGUGAAGGAAGAAGGCUUUCGGGUUGUAAACUUCUUUUCUCAGGGACGAAGCAAGUGACGGUACCUGAGGAAUAAGCCACGGCUAACUACGCGCCAGCAGCCGCGGUAAUACGUAGGUGGCAAGCGUUAUCCGGAUUUACUGGGUGUAAAGGGCGUGUAGGCGGGAAAGCAAGUCAGAUGUGAAAACCAUGGGCUCAACCUGUGGCCUGCAUUUGAAACUGUUUUCCUUGAGUACUGGAGAGGCAGACGGAAUUCCUAGUGUAGCGGUGAAAUGCGUAGAUAUUAGGAGGAACACCAGUGGCGAAGGCGGCCGCCUGGCCUGUAACUGACGCUCAGGCACGAAAGCGUGGGGAGCAAAUAGGAUUAGAUACC